GAUCGCUACCUUUUGGAAACUUAAGGGUCAGUUCGGCUGGAUCGGUGACAGGUGCUGCAUGGCUGUCGUCAGCUCGUGUCGUGAGAUGUUGGGUUAAGUCCCGCAACGAGCGCAACCCUCGUCCUUAGUUGCCAGCAUUAAGUUGGGCACUCUAAGGAGACUGCCGGUGUUAAACCGGAGGAAGGCGGGGAUGACGUCAAGUCCUCAUGGCCCUUAUGUCCAGGGCUACACACGUGCUACAAUGGCCGGUACAAAGGGUAGCAAGACCGCGAGGUGGAGCCAACCCCAAAAAGCCGGUCUCAGUUCGGAUUGGAGUCUGCAACUCGACUCCAUGAAGUUGGAAUCGCUAGUAAUCGUGGAUCAGCAUGCCACGGUCGAAUACGUUCCGGGCCUU
rnacentral:rRNA from 1 species